rnacentral:rRNA from 1 species
UACAGAGGUCUCAAGCGUUGUUCGGAUUCAUUGGGCGUAAAGGGUGCGUAGGCGGUAAGGUAAGUCGGAUGUGAAAUCCCGGGGCUCAACCCCGGAACUGCAUUCGAUACUGCUUUACUUGAGGACUGGAGAGGAGAUUGGAAUUCACGGUGUAGCAGUGAAAUGCGUAGAUAUCGUGAGGAAGACCAGUGGCGAAGGCGAAUCUCUGGACAGAUCCUGACGCUGAGGCACGAAGGCUAGGGGAG